rnacentral:rRNA from 1 species
CCUACGGGAGGCAGCAGUGAGGAAUAUUGGUCAAUGGACGAGAGUCUGAACCAGCCAAGUAGCGUGAAGGAUGACUGCCCUAUGGGUUGUAAACUUCUUUUAUAUGGGAAUAAAAUGUUCCACGUGUGGGAUUUUGUAUGUACCAUAUGAAUAAGGAUCGGCUAACUCCGUGCCAGCAGCCGCGGUAAUACGGAGGAUCCGAGCGUUAUCCGGAUUUAUUGGGGUUAAAGGGAGCGUAGGUGGGUUGUUAAGUCAGUUGUGAAAGUUUGUGGCUCAACCGUAAAAUUGCAGUUGAAACUGGCAGUCUUGAGUACAGUAGAGGUGGGCGGAAUGCGUGGUGUAGCGGUGAAAUGCUUAGAUAUCACGCAGAACUCCGAUUGCGAAGGCAGUUCACUGGACUGCAACUGACACUGAGGCUCGAAAGUGUGGGUAUCAAACAGGAUUAGAUACCCCAGUAGUC